UAGGUUAUCCAUUGGUUGGUGCUGAUAGAGGAGGUUGGAUUAUGUCUAUAUAAACAACAUGCAUGUGUGACCUAAACGAGCGUCACUUCCCGGGAUCCUGUUUCGCUUCCGGUUUAUGGACUAAGGGCUGUUGUGAUUUUGCUUCGCAGGACGAUCGCGCCAACUGUGGUCAUCUCCGUGGCUGCAGAUAUCGUGGCUUUGACUUAUUGUUCGUGGUGUGUGUCUCACAUCUGUUUAUGCGACCAUAUUCAGUCAAUACAAUGCCGUGUAUGGGCGGAUGACGACUGUUAUUUUCCCUCGUGUAUCCUGAGCUUCACCAGCUGAAUGAUUAAACUGAAACUAUACUUCGCAUUGCAACUAUGGAGUAUUAUCUUCACCUCUACUGACUCCCGGGUCCCUGCGCCUGUUAUAUGGAGCUGCAGACCUUUUCUGAAGAGCAGGGCUGAAGUCUUUAGGUGGUGAUGGUGUUUCCUCACGGACUGCUGUGAUUUACCGUGUGCACUGGGGCUUUUGGGAGUGGUGUAAGUUUGCAGUGUACGUAGAGAAAAGGCCUGUACGGCCGGUCAUUUAGCCCAGGCUGCAGCUCCUCGUGUUGUCUUUUCUGGACCAUUUGUGUGAUUGUGGUUUUACAAGUAAUUUAAUUUUGUUUACUGUUCAAGAUGGAGGGAGAAUUGCAGGAGCUAUGGGACCUGGUGAUUCAGUUGAGAGUGGAGAAUGAGCGGUUGAGACAGGAACAACCUUCAGAGCUGCAGACCUUUUCUGAAGAGCAGGGCUGAAGUCUUUAGGUGGUGAUGGUGUUUCCUCACGGACUGCUGUGAUUUACCGUGUGCACUGGGGCUUUUGGGAGUGGUGUAAGUUUGCAGUGUACGUAGAGAAAAGGCCUGUACGGCCGGUCAUUUAGCCCAGGCUGCAGCUCCUCGUGUUGUCUUUUCUGGGCCAUUUGUGUGAUUGUGGUUUUACAAGUGAAUGCAUUUUAGAUUUUCUUUGUCAUUAAAUGCAAUAAACAGUGUUCCAUUUUUAUACCAGUA